UUUAAAACUGCGACUUUAUUGCAUAAUGCAUUGUGUGAAUCAUCUUGCUAUUAGAUUGAUCCUAUUUUGGGCCCUAUAAACUAGAACCUUCAAGCUGAAGCACUGCCAUUGUGAAUUUCACAAUGUUGUAAAGCACAGGCAGGAAGUAUCUGCACAACUGCAACAUUGGGAAGUACAGAAAAUUUCAUUAGAUGACAAAAAGGGGAAACCAGAGACAUGAUUGCAUCAGUGGCGAUUUUGAGUAAAAUCUCUUCUGGAUCUUGGAGCUGACAUCCAAUCAUUUUUAUAAAUAAAAUUAUUUCCCAAGUGAUCUUCUUAGAAAGGUUUUGUUUUGUUCUGCUUUAUAUUUCUAGGGAAAUAGCAAAAUAUGCAAUUUUCAGUUUUUCUCCAAGUGCAUUCCUUAAGAGAAUAUUACAUAAGGGCUGAAUACAUAUAUAAUUUUACAUGCACAAAACACAACUGCUAUGUUCAUAUAAAAUACCCAAACAAGCCUUACUUAUAUGUGUGUUUAUGUAAUUUAUUGGCUGGUUUAUUUCAAAGUAUAUAUGCCACAUCAGUGGAGACCCAGUUUGGUAGUGGCCAAAUGCUGGACUAGAAACCAGAAGAUGGCAUCUACCCUUCCUUUAGGCACGAAAGGCAACUAAAUGACUUUGGGUCAGUUUCUCAGCCCAACAAAAUUGUUGUUAAGGGGCAAAAGAAGAGAUGUGACUAUUAUAUACAGUACAUACUGUACACUGCCUUAAAUUGACCAAAAACAAAAGUGAGAUAAAAAUCUAAUAAUAAAUAAAAUUUGUAGCAUAUAUACAUCUCUAGCAGGUUAAACAACAGCAAUAUUCAAUCAUCACGAAUGCUACUGUACCAUGAGAAACUAUACCAGAAAAUGUUUGCCAUGGUACAGAAGCAUUCACGAUGAGUAAAUAUUCCUGUUAAUUUAAUCUGCUAUCCACACUGUUUUAAACACAAUGCAAAUAGAUGAUAUCCAGGUCAUUCCCUAGUAGCUUUGUAGAACAACCAGUUUUUAAUGCCCUUCCUAAAUUCCAAAAGAACUGGAGUUGCUCUAAAACCUAGGGAGAGUGCUAUUUUUUGAGAGAGAAGGAACAAUAGAAAUUGUUUUGGGGGUUCUCAUAACUAUUCUCUAGGAGUACACACUGAGCCCUCUGGCUGUAUUGAAUAGGCAGAUAACAUUGGGCACAGGUGGUCCCAAAGGUACCCAACUCCUAAGCCAUGUAAAGCUUUAUAGUGUCAUGACUCGCUCAGACUCUGAUGAGGAAACAGAUAGUAAGCAGCCAGAAUUACCAGAUGAACUGCCUCUUGGGCAAUUGCAGGGAGAGGAUUGCGCUGCCUAGUAACCAGGUCUCAGCUGCUGGUCUUGGAAGAUGAGAAAUCUGAACUGCUACACACCCUCCCCAGAGCAAGAUCUUACUGUGCGGAGAGCACAGCAAAGGCGAUCUGUGAGGCUUCUUGUAAGAAAGGAAUCUCGCUCUUUCAAGUGAGCAACAUCAGGGUUGCUUCUCUUUAAGAACAGCAGCAAGCUCAAGCCCUCAGUUGACAGUUUAUUAACCUAGUCUCUGUGUGCCUUGCUUUUCAUCUUGAAAUCUUGUGACUGUGACUCUGUCCCAGACUGGCUGACAACUCUGCUAUGACAUUUGGACCCUUGGACUUCAUCGGACCACUUUUGUCUCUGCUGUCCCUUGCUUGAGACAAGCCUGUUGGACUUUGGGGAACAUGAUUUCUUGUCUGUAUGUGCUUGCAUGUUUAUUUUUUUUGCUGCUUGCUAGUAAAGUUUGAAAAUUUUACUAGUGUUUGUGAGCCUGUGGACCAAGACAGGACAUAUAGAUACAGAGAUAACCACCAACACUUUAAAAGUAAUUGAAAUUUCACCAGAUUUCUGAAAAUAGUGGUGUUAUGUGGACAAAGCCUUAUUACCAGCUUUAGACAUCUUUUGAAUAGCAAAAUAAUAGAGUUGGAAGGGACAUCAGAGAUCUUCUAGUCCAACAUUCUGCUCUACUAUUUCAGACAAAUGGUUGUCCAAUCUCUUCUUAAAAACCUCCAGUGAUAGAGCACCCACAACUUCUGAAGGCAAACUGUUCCACUGGCUGAUAAUUCUCACUGUUAGGAAAUUUCUCCUAAAUUCUAGGUUGUUUCUCUCCCUGAUUAGUUUCCAUUAGUUCUUGUCUUGCCUUCUGGUGCUUUGGAAUGACCUCAUCUUCUUUGUGUCAGCCCCUCAAAUAUUGGAACAUUGCUAUCAUGUCACCACUAGUCCUUUUUUUUUUCACUAGAUUAGAUAUACCCAAUUCCUGAAACGGUUGUUCAUCUGUUUUAACUUCCACCCCCCACCCAAUCAUAUUUGUUGUUCUUUUCUGCACUGUUUCCAGAGUCUGUACAUGUUGGGUUUUUUUUAUAAUAUGGCAACUAAAACUGGAUGUAGUAUAUUCUAAGUGUGAUCUUAAGGUAAAGGUAAAGGUUCCCCUGACACAUAUGUGCUAGUCCUUCCCAACUCUAGGGGUUGGUGCUCAUCUCUGUUUCAAAGCCAAAGAGUCAGCGCUGUCUGAAGAUGUUUCUGUGGUCAUGUGGCCGGCAUGACUAAAUGACAAAGGCACACAGAAUGCUGUUACCUUCCCACCAAAGGUGGUCCCUAUUUUCUACUUGCAUUUUUACGUGCUUUCGAACUACUAGGUUGGCAGAAGCUGGGACAAGUAAUGGGAGCUCACCUCGUUAUGUGGCAUUAGGGAUUCGAACCACUGAACUGCUGACCUUUCGAUCGACAAACUCAGCACCUUAGCCACUGAGCCACCCUAAGUUCUGGAAUGUUACUUAAGUUCACCAGCUUGACCUCACUGAAACCUUCAAAAUCACCCCAAGUAUUGCUGGAUUCCACUGUGUUGAUAUCCUGAGGCAUCUCCAGUGAUCCUUCAUCAAUUGUUCCAUCAUCCCUCUUGCUGACCUAAGCCAUCAACAACGCCUGUUUUCAGUCUUGCAACAAAUCCAGAUUUCAGUCUGCAAAAGAAGGGUUAUAAAUGAAGACCCUGAUAAUAAGGUGAGUAAGAUUCACAAAAGAUAAGCUGUCAGGCA